rnacentral:rRNA from 1 species
AACGAACGCUGGCGGCGUGCCUAACACAUGCAAGUCGAGCGCGAAAAGGGCAACCUGAGUAGAGCGGCGCACGGGUGCGUAACACGUGGGCAAUCUGCCUUAGAGUCGAGGAUAACCUUCCGAAAGGUUGGCUAAUACUCGGUAAGCUUACGGUGUCUUCGGACGCUGUGGGAAAAGUAGGCACCUGUUUACAAGCUUCCGGUCUGAGAUGAGCCCGCGGCCCAUCAGCUAGUUGGCGGUGUAACGGACCACCAAGGCAACGACGGGUAGCUGGUCUGAGAGGACGAUCAGCCACACUGGAACUGAGACACGGUCCAGACUCCUACGGGAGGCAGCAGUGGGGAAUUUUCCACAAUGGGCGAAAGCCUGAUGGAGCAACGCAGCGUGUGUGAUGAAGGUUUUCGGAUCGUAAAGCACUUUCGACCGGGACGAAAAACCUCUGGCUAACAUCCAGGGGCCUGACGGUACCGGGAGAAGAAGCACCGGCUAACUCUGUGCCAGCAGCCGCCGUAA